UGGGGAAUUUUGGACAAUGGGCGAAAGCCUGAUCCAGCAAUGCCGCGUGUGUGAAGAAGGCCUUCGGGUUGUAAAGCACUUUUGUCCGGAAAGAAAUCCUUGGCUCUAAUACAGUCGGGGGGUGACGGUACCGGAAGAAUAAGCACCGGCUAACUACGUGCCAGCAGCCGCGGUAAUACGUAGGGUGCAAGCGUUAAUCGGAAUUACUGGGCGUAAAGCGUGCGCAGGCGGUUUGCUAAGACCGAUGUGAAAUCCCCGGGCUCAACCUGGGAACUGCAUUGGUGACUGGCAGGCUAGAGUAUGGCAGAGGGGGGUAGAAUUCCACGUGUAGCAGUGAAAUGCGUAGAGAUGUGGAGGAAUACCGAUGGCGAAGGCAGCCCCCUGGCCAAUACUGACGCUCAUGCACGAAAGCGUGGGGAGCAAACAGGAUUAGAUACCCUGGUAGUCCACGCCCUAAACGAUGUCAACUAGUUGUUGGGGAUUCAUUUCCUUAGUAACGUAGCUAACGCGUGAAGUUGACCGCCUGGGGAUACGGUCGCAAGAUUAAAACUCAAAGGAAUUGACGGGG
rnacentral:rRNA from 1 species